rnacentral:rRNA from 1 species
UACGUAGGUGGCAAGCGUUGUCCGGAUUUAUUGGGUUUAAAGGGUGCGUAGGCGGCCCUAUAAGUCAGUGGUGAAAUACUCUAGCUUAACUAGAGGGGUGCCAUUGAUACUGUAGGGCUUGAGUAAAGUUGAGGUUGGCGGAAUUGACGGUGUAGCGGUGAAAUGCUUAGGUAUCGUCAAGAACACCUAUUGCGAAGGCAGCUAACUAAGCUUUAACUGACGCUGAGGCACGAAAGUGUGGGGAUCAAACAGG